rnacentral:rRNA from 1 species
GAUGAACGCUGGCGGCGUGCCUAACACAUGCAAGUCGAACGGACGGACGAUAAGCUUGCUUCUUUGUUGUUAGCGGCGGACGGGUGAGUAACGCGUGGAUCACCUACUUAUCAUUCUGGGAUAAUUUCGGGAAACCGUAUAUAAUACCAGAUAAUCUUUUGAACCGCAUGGUGCAAAAGUGAAUGACGGUCUUUCUGUCACUUAUAGCUGGUUCCGCGCUGCAUUAGCUGGUUGGUAAGGUAACGGCUUACCAAGGCUACGAUGCAUGGCCGACGUGAGAGGGGGAUCGGCCACACUGGAACUGAGACACGGUCAAGACUCCUACGGGAGGCAGCAGUAGGGAAUCUUCGGCAAUGGGCGAAAGCCUGACGCAGCAACGCCGCGUGAGUGAUGAAGGCCUUCGGAUCGUAAAACCCUGUUAUUAGGGAAGAACAUAUGUGGAAUUAACCGUGGACAUCUUGACGGUACCUAAUCAAAAAGCACCGGCUAACUACGUG